UAGUAUUUCCACAGCGCUCAAUCAAAUUAAAUUAUUAUUUUUGUCAGACACAAAUCAUUUCACUGCUGCCUUUGUUAUCCUUCUUACCAUUGCAGGGGGCAUAAAUAUAUACUAAUCGACUCAGAGAGCCCUUUGAAACAUUCUGUGCCAGACUAAAGUUUAGGCAGUGGGAACUCCUGGAACUCUUGGCUGCUAUUGAAAAGAAACAGCAGUGUGCGCUUCAGUAAUUUUUCAAAGAAAUUGCAAAAAAUAAUAAGUACAAAAUGCGCAUGCAGAAUGGAACGGAAACGGCAACUAAAAAGCAUGCCGCACACAAUGCAAUGAACUAGAUUCCUUAUAUUAUAUCUCUUUCGGCACUUCCGCUGCGUAAAGGCAAGUUUUUUCACACUUUUGCAGGCAAACCGAAUGCAGACAAUAAGCAGAGGCAGUCACUGUGAAGUUGCCAGCCUUUGUUGCAAGAAUGUUGUGCAAGAAUUCUUAACGCCAAAAAUCAACUUUGCAAGAUUUGCUGAAUUGAAAAAUACCUUUUUACUUGUCGCUUGAAUGAAUUACAACUCGUCAGCCAGCUGAUAGUACAAGAUAGUCAGGUCUAGGUAUUUUGGUAAGAAAAUCAAAAAUAUGCCAGGAUGAAAUUAAACAGCUCGAUUGAUUUGUUUUUAAAAUUAA